UGGGGAAUCUUGGACAAUGGGCGCAAGCCUGAUCCAGCCAUGCCGCGUGGAUGAUGAAGGCCUUAGGGUUGUAAAAUCCUUUCGCCGAGGACGAUAAUGACGGUACUCGGAGAAGAAGCUCCGGCUAACUUCGUGCCAGCAGCCGCGGUAAUACGAAGGGGGCUAGCGUUGUUCGGAUUUACUGGGCGUAAAGCGCGUGUAGGCGGGUCGUUAAGUUGGGGGUGAAAUCCCGAGGCUCAACCUCGGAACUGCCUUCAAAACUGGCGACCUGGACCUAAGUAGAGGCAAGUGGAAUUGCGAGUGUAGAGGUGAAAUUCGUAGGAUAUUCGCAGGAACACCAGUGGCGAAGGCGACUUGCUGGACUUAUGGUGACGCUGAGACGCGAAAGCGUGGGGAGCAAACGGGAUUAGAUACCCUAGUAGUCCCUGAGCGGGCUGGCAAGGCGCAU
rnacentral:rRNA from 1 species